rnacentral:rRNA from 1 species
CCAGAGAACUUAGCAGAGAUGCUUUGGUGCCUUCGGGAACUCUGAGACAGGUGCUGUAUGGCUGUCGUCAGCUCGUGUUGUGAAAUGUUGGGUUAAGUCCCGCAACGAGCGCAACCCUUUAUCCUUUGUUGCCGGCGAUUCGGUCGGGAACUCAAAGGAGACUGCCAGUGAUAAACUGGAGGAAGGUGGGGAUGACGUCAAGUCAUCAUGGCCCUUACGAGUAGGGCUACACACGUGCUACAAUGGCGCAUACAAAGAGAAGCGACCUCGCGAGAGCAAGCGGACCUCAUAAAGUGCGUCGUAGUCCGGAUUGGAGUCUGCAACUCGACUCCAUGAAGUCGGAAUCGCUAGUAAUCGUAGAUCAGAAUGCUACGGUGAAUACGUUCCCGGGCCUUGUACACACCGCCCGUCACACCAUGGGAGUGGGUUGCAAAAGAAGUAGGUAGCUUAACUUUCGGGAGGGCGCUUACCACUUUGUGAUUCAUGACUGGGGUGAAGUCGUAACAAGGUAAGCGUAGUGCU